rnacentral:lncRNA from 1 species
AUGCCCAAGAGAAAACAAGAUUUACAAAUAAAUGCUAAAUGCAAACAGAGACACGUCUGGCCCUUUUGAAGCUUUAAAUCUGGAAGUUGUUCAUUUUAGAGCUGAAUUAAUUAACUUCAGUAAGUGAAAAAUAUGAAGGGCAACAAAAUAAUUAGAAUGGAUAGCUGGCCAAUGCCAACAGUUUGCAGUCCUGUGCGACACCUGAAAAGACAAAUUCAACCAAAAUAGUUCAGAUCAGUAUGUACCUCAAUUAUCUUUAGUCAAUUCACUAUAAUAAUAUCAUCUACACAGCCAGCUAACAUAGGUAGCAGCAAUUUGUCAUUGCUGCUAAUGAACAAAAUAAAUUUGAGUUUACAUGCUGGUUAGAGAGAAUUAAGAAAGCAACAAGGAUUUAUAAACCAGUACUUUCUUCACUGGCAUGUGUUCUGUAUGUAUUACUCGCAGGACCAACGUCCUCCUCAGAGGUGAUAGGGUUGAAGCAACAGGAUGAGAGAUCUCAAGCAUGCUACUGAAUGUUGUGCUCUGACAAAACUACAUGGCUUCCUUUAUCAAGACAGCUGUGUUUUUAAAUAAAUAAUAUUAAUUUGGCCUGCAGAAGGAUUACGCCUGAUACUCAAAUGCAUUACCUUGAAAGGUCAACUUGACUUCCUCAAGGAGUUUAAUUCAAGGCGUUCAGGAUGCCAGACCAGAAGGCCUCACAGACUGAGGAAGACUGGGCAAUGGAUUCAUAGGCCAUUUAAGCCACAGAUGCUCAUGGAACCCUUCCUGGAACCUGGCCCUGCAAGGCUUGAUCUUGGUUUUCCUUUUCGACCUUCUUCAGUUCACCCACCGAAAAGAUCUGUAAACUAAAACUUUUACCUUCUGCUAAGUAAGACAACAGCUGUCGCCUUGAUUAAGCUGUAAAUUUGGGUAUUUGCCUUCAGACUGAUGUUUAAGACAGAAUUAACAUGCAGUUUUCUGAAGCAUUGUCACUGCA